GGGCCCGUGGUGUAGCCUGGUUUAACACGCCUGCCUGUCACGCAGGAGAUCGAGGGUUCAAAUCCCUUCGGGCCCG
rnacentral:tRNA from 1 species